CCCAAUCGGCGGUCGACAGAGUCCGGAAUCCCUAAGAACAUUUCCCUCUCCUGCGUGAUCCUGAUCUCUCUCUCUCUCUCUCUCUCUCUCUCUGUGCGCGGGCGUGUAUGACGCAAGGACGAAUUGUAUACGCAACAAAUAAUUAGGAAUCAGCAGCGGCAUUUAAGACGAUCACGUCUUGAUCGCUACAAAUGAAGCGAGGCGGCGAGAGAGAGUAGCCGGAAACCCUAAUGGAAGAGUUCCGCAGAGAGAGAGAGAAGGGGACGGGCGCGUUCCUCUUCUUCCAUCUUCUAUUUGGUGGUGGAUCUUCUUAUUCUUCUUCUUCUUCUUCUUCUUCUUCUUCUUAUUCGUCUUGGUUUGAGUUUGUGGUCGAUUGGAAGGGGGUUGUGGAGUCUCGUCCGGGGCGGUUGGGGGGGUUGACAGAAGAGAGUGAGCACACGGCGGCGAUCGCAUCGGCGGGGUGCCAUCGCUGUUGCGUGCUCACCUCUCUCUCUGUCAUCCCGAUAUCUCCGGAUCCGUUUCUUCAUCCGAUGGCGAUCGUGGUGUCUUGGUGUGGAAGUGGUAAAAAGAGUGGCGACGGGAAAAAGGUGAGGGUGCGUUUUGCUGGACAUGCGCGCAGGCUCUUUUUCUAUGUCGGCAGCUCGUCUCUGAGCAGUCUCGUCAUGGGCGGGUUACCGAGGUAGAGAGUAGGAGUGUCGUAUCCGGUUAUGAUGGUGGUCGUGUACUUCUUUCCAUUUCUGGAGGUUUCUAUUUUUCCUGAUACAGCUACGGAAGCAAGAAAUCAAGGAAGAGGAAGACGGUGAGAAAGAAAAAUCUCAUCUUGGUGGAUCUGAGAGUGGAAGCGUGGCUUCUGCGUUGAAGGCGAUUUGCAUCGGGGAGCGAGCUCGGAUGGGUGCAGAUUCAGACGUCUCCUCCCUCUCUUUAUCUUCUGCUUUCCGUCUUUAUCUUCUGCCGCUUACUCGGAUUUGUGGAAAUCGCUGUUGACCGGUCGUCGUCGUCCUCUUCUUCUUGUCUGCCUUCCUCGCCUUGCCUCGCCUCACUCUCCUACUAAUGCUUCUUUCCUUCCCUUGCUUUUCUUGUCUUUGCAGAUGGAUGAUGAACUGAUCUUUGGAACUCGAAGGCCAGUUCCAUUGGUUACGAUAAUCUCGAGGGUUGCUGCACGCAUGCAUCAAGCAAUCAUUGAGUUGGUUUUCCUGUUGGAAGUCGGAUGAAUCUGUGGAUGCUCCAUAAGGCUUCGGUAAGUCGUCGGACUUCGUUUCGUGGUCGACGUUCUACCUCAUUACUAGUUGAGGAAAGAGUCUCGUCUGCUUUUGGUUAUGCGACGGAGGGCUUUAUUCCUUUGGUCACAGGAAAGCUUUAUCACAUCGGGCAACAAUGGAGCUUCUUAUGGUUUCUUUCUCGGUUAGGGAGUGAAAUUGUGCUUUUAUAUUAUAUCCAACUUGAUGCAUAUUAGAUUACCUAAAUUCCUGUCUUCUGAUGUGACGAUGUGAAUGGCUAUAGCUAUAGGAAUGGAAUUUAGGAAGAGAAAGUUCAUAAAUUUAGGUCGUUUCUUUGAUCUAUGCCCUUUACAAUGCCAAGAAAAUCUUGUUGACAGAACUGAAUUUUUAGGAACCCACAUAGAACUUAAGAUCAGAUAUUGUUAAUUCAUUGGAAAAUCUGUGUUUGUUUUCCACGGGAUGAAAUUAAAAUGUCUCCUGUUUAACGAGAUUGUCAACUUUGCUAACAUAAGAUUUGAUUGAUCUGUGGUAAUUUUUUUAUUAUAAUUAUACUUAUGAGUUUAUGAGGCAUGACUGACCCUUUUCACCCUUUUUACCAUGAAACUUCUGCCAAAUGGACUCUUUAACCACAGCAUUUUUGGGGACAAGAAGAAAACAACAAUACAAAAGCUCAAAGAAAGCUAAAUAUUGGUUGAAUGAUUGAUGAAGAAAAAGCAAGUACUGAAUCAUUGAACGUGAAGGGGAAGCAUAUUGAUUGCCUGAUGGACUAUGACAAGGAAUUGUCAGGGGGAAUUUCGGUGGUUAUAAAUCUUUUCAUUAUAGUGGAAAAGACAAUGUCCUACCAUUUAGCUCAUAAUCAUUUGACCCAAUUCAUUUGUGUCAUUCCAGUCCUUGUUCUUCUACAGCUAUUUGAUGUGUUUUGUAUUUGGAAAGAUGCUAUAAUGUCGAUGUCCUUCAGAAUCAUUUACUAUUUUAUUAUACUUACGCUUAUUUACUUUACAUAUUUAUGGUCCUUUUUUGAGUUGCUUCCUAUUGCGUAAAUGCUUGUUUAAGUUUGGUAUCGAUUCAGGAGGUUAUACAGCUCUUCCCUUAAUUAAGUUGUCUAUGAUGGAUAGAAAUGAAGUGCAUCUUAGUGUUGCUUGUUUUCCUGAACGCUAGUAGAGGACAGGAAUAUAAUUACCUGCAUUUUUCAUGAUUCUAAACACCUUUGUCAGACUACAGAUAUGUUCCUGUCUUUAUGUUCUUACAUUUUUGAGAAAAUAUUCCAUGCUGGCUUUCCUACUCAAGUUCUUUAAAAUUUCCUUUAUCUUUUCUCUAAGCAGAUAGAAGCACUACCAGUUUUACUGGAUAAAUAUUGUUGCUAUUGUUAAUUCUUGAACAUAUUAUCUUAUCUAUAUUUUGCACAAUUUUCUUCAAAAUCAGUUAAGUCUGACUAAUUCAGCACCACUGCUUUCUUGAUCCAGGAUUACUAUAGUUCAAUAACCUGGAAGGACACUUUUAUAACAAAGAUGUUUCUUAAAGUUAGAUUUAAGGCUAACAGGGAUUCAGAAUUUUGAUGACACAUAGAAUAAGUUUUUUAAGAAAGAAUUUACUUCUUCCAUUCAAAUACUACAUAAUGUGUGCACAAGACUCCUACAACCGGACUUGGAUUCCUUACCUUACUACACACAUUUCUCCUUGAACAGUAAGCUGUCUCCUUCAAAGACCACACAGUCUAAGUGACUUUGCAAGACAGAUAUCAUCACAUUUUAAGUGAUAAUGUAUUACCAUGAAUGGUGUUUGAUUGGAAGAGACUGUAAGCAAAUGCUAUCUGGGUUGGCAUUUGUUGAAUUGACUUAUUAGUAUACAUUAAAUGCUCCUUAAUGUGCUGACUUCUUAGCUCUUAAGUGGCAUUUACUUUGUUGACCUUCUUUUAUCAAGUCCAUCAUUUAUUCUUUUGCUACAGAAGGUCUAUAUGUGCUAUUUUGAGUGCAACACUGUCAUUUAAUGUGGCUUAGAAAUUGAAAUACAAGAUAUAGAUGGAUUUGUUGGAACUUUCUGAAAGCUUUUGUUCUUCUUGUCUGAAAUCUACUAAGCAAAUACUAUAUCUGAAAUUUAAUUAUUAAAUCCGUUCUUGAUUUGUUUCUCCAUGUCCGGACCGUCAACUAAGCUUUUGUUCUUGUUGUCUAUCUUUCUAAUAUAUAUUUCAAACUAUUGCAAUAUCUCAUAGAAGAUGAGAGCAGAAAGGGCUCCCAUGAGACAUGAGAGUAGAAAAGGAGAUCUAAGUUAAAAAAGAAAGGAAGACCCAGUGCAGAUUGUGGGUUUGGUAGGGUUAAAGGUUACAAUCUUAUUGUUAUAGGCAGAGAGAUCAUUCCCAUGACUUAUACGAUUACCUGAAUAUAGUAGUCUUUGGUAUGCUUCUAUUUAUCUAGGAAAUAAGCUGGAAAUGCAUCUAAAUCUUACAUGAUUGGAUAAAAUUCAUGAGUACUGAAUGAUUGUGUGCUUUUGAAUGCUAAAAAAUACAUGAUAUGGACAAAUUCACAACUUGACCAUAUCUUUUACCCGAAGUCCCUUUGCGGAUGAGGGAUGUCUUCAAUUUCAAGUUAUUUUCUUAAGGUCUGUUGUGUGGUGCUUUAGGGUUUUGCACUGCCAUUGGCAUCUUGAUGCUUUUGUCUUAUCAAUAUAAAUCUAAUGAAACAGUGGAUUUUUGUGAGCUUUACUAAUAUAAGAAUAGAUUGUAAUUGUACCAUGUUCAAGAUGUGAGUUUUAUGAUGUGGUUCAUAUUCGGUGAUCAUCUUGAUAUGAGAUAAACAUAAUAAAUCACUUUCAUUUUUGUUAAGUUUAUGUCUAAGGAUUGUAGUAACUCAGCAUCAAGCAAGGAUUUUUUUUUUCCUGAUUAUAUACAUAAAUGGUGCAUCGUUCGCUCUUCUUUAUAGCUGCAAACAUCUUUCUUUCCUUUCAUGAUUCCAAAUUGGCAAACUCCAGGAUUUGAUUGCUGAUUUAAUUCUUGUUGUGGCGCCAAGUUCCGUGAUGAUACAACAAAAUUGUUGCUGUGUAGCAUCUACUGUUGCAAAAAUUAUACAUUUGCCAAAGGUAUCAGGAGGAAUUGAUUGUGAUGCUGUCGUUUUGACGGUAGCAAGAGUUUCAUAGCAGAAGAGAGCCAUCUCCAGGAGCAUCCUUCGACAACGUUUCUUCUUGUGAAUCAUUAAGCUGGAUUGGAAAGCUGAAGCAGAAGCCAUCAAGUGGAGAAGCUUUCAUCGGAUGGAUCCUGAAGUGGAACCAAACCUGUGACAGCAAUGUUGUGGCACCACAUUGCUCCCAUGUCAGAAGCGGGUGGAUGGUAUGAUGCGACCGGUCACUGUGCCAUGUCUUGGUGAUCUUCUUUCUACAUGUCAACAAUCCCUCAAGAAAAGAUGGGAAAGAAAGCAGAGCAGCUACACAAAACAGAGCAAGAGACUAAGAAAACCGUGGUCCUGAUCUCCAUGGCUUGUGGGGAGUGCAGAGGCAUCAUAAACAUGAAUACCAGACUUGAUGCGAUUGAUAGCAACUGCAAGAAUUAAUGUUUCCACAAUCAGAAGAGGGAAGGAGAGAGAAAUGUCGUCGUGGUCUGUAAUGUUCACAGGCUGCCAUUAAUGGCAAGGAUUGACAUACCGAAUUGUACCGCCCGAUAUGAGCGGUACGUACCGAUCCGAUAGGUGACCGGUACGCGGACCGCCCGCUACCGGGCGGUACAUAAAAAAAAAACCGUAUCGAACAAUACGGGGUAAUAUCGGGCAGUAACGAUCGAAAUUUCGACCGUUAUCACCCGGUACCACUCGGUAACGGUCGAAAUCGACCGUUACCACACUGUAGCAGUGCUACCGUGCUCCAACGGUCAAAUUGAUCGUUGGAGCCCUUUCUCCUUCUAUUUAAACCAAUCUUCUCUCUCCUAUUUCAUUAUACUCUCUUAAACUUUCUCUCAAACUUUUCUUUUCUCUCCUAAACUCUAUAAAAUAACGAUUUGUGAAUUCAAUUGAGGCUAAUUUGGGAAGAUUAAGAGGAAGAACUUUCUAAUCAAGAGGUAUGUGCUGAGUCUCCUAAACACUGUUGCCGUUUGUAUACUUUCACAGACAACAACAUCUAGUGGUUGCGAACGUAAUUGGUCAACGUUUGCAUUGAUUCAUACAAAAGUCCGCAACAGACUCUCCUACAGACGGUUAGAGAAACUAGUAUAUGUCCAUUAUAACAUGCGGCUAAAAUUGCGAUGUGCUGAGUUGGAUAAGGAGCUAGAGGAACCAGAUAUUGAUCCCAUUGACCUCCAAUUCUAUAACGAAGAUUCAGAGCCAAUGUUAGAUUGGGUUAAAGCAGUAGAGAACUAAGAGGAUCCUCUACUUGAUGAGGCGGGAGAUCCUCAACGUCCUUCGCGUUUUAUCACCGAGGCAAUAGAAGAAGAAGAAGAAGCACAACCCCAACAGGUGGAAAAUCCCCCUCGAUUACAACAUGGUAUGAGUCAAACUACUCGAGGAACUACCGAUACCCAACGGUCACACUCGUUCGCCCAACGUGCAAAGGCAAAGGGGAAGGCAGUAGCAUCAGUUGCAUCGUUGGAAAGAAUCGAGUCGGACGACGAGACACCUUCACAAUCACAUUCUCUUUCUCGCUCGAUCCAGAGACAUGACAGCAACACGGACAGCAGUGCCUCGACGGAUGAUGGCGAUAAUGUCGGGCAGUCGUUAGUCUCGUCUACACAACUUGAGGGUGGUGAAUGGACUGAGGAGCAAUAUUUUACACAUGCCACUCAAGAUUCAGAUCAUGGAACUCGACAAGGUACUGGUCAAGUUUAUGCGCGGAAGGGGAAGGGGAAGGGGAAGGCAGUGGAUGAAUAUGAACAAAUGCGACAGAGCAUACAUGAUAUAGACACAGAAAGAGACUCAUCAUAUUCACAGCCAUUGUAUUAUGGAGAAUCAUAUGGGCAACAACACUAUGGUGAUAGUUGGUCAUCCUUCUCUGAGCAACAGCAUGAUACAGAACAACACCAAUAUAUGCCUCAAGAGCUGCCUCGAACAAAUAUGAUUCAUGACGAUCAAUCUACGAUCAGCACCACAUUGAUGCAUCAAUGACAUACAGUGUAUCAAUACACUAUAUCAUGGGAUCAAUUUCAUGAUUGGGUCCAACAAACGUAUCGUAUUGAUAUGUAUCGGAUCGAGGACCCCGAUCCACCACUCGUGGAGGCCCAUCGUUCGUUUUGGUGGUAGAAUUAACAAUCAGAUAUAUUUGGAUAUAUGAUUAUUUAAUUCAUUUGAAUUUUAUAGUUUAUCUGUAACAAAAUAGUCUAACAAUUCA